UACGUAGGGUGCGAGCGUUGUCCGGAAUUAUUGGGCGUAAAGAGCUUGUAGGCGGUUCGUCGCGUCGGCUGUGAAAACCUGAGGCUCAACCUCAGGCCUGCAGUCGAUACGGGCGGACUUGAGUACUGCAGGGGAGACUGGAAUUCCUGGUGUAGCGGUGAAAUGCGCAGAUAUCAGGAGGAACACCGGUGGCGAAGGCGGGUCUCUGGGCAGUAACUGACGCUGAGGAGCGAAAGCGUGGGGAGCGAACAGG
rnacentral:rRNA from 1 species